ACUCCCGCCUCGCCUCCUGCUGCAGAAACAAACAGCCAGAGCUCUUGCCGGGCGGGACCGGAUGUCGACAGGCAGUGAUGGCUCCGGAGACCCCUAAACAGCCCCAAUCACCCCGCCCGGCGUUGGAAAGCCACUACCGCGAAGCCAAGACAAGGCAAAGCAAAGAAAGGCCAUGGGUUGGUACUGGGUAUCUGCUGAAGGACUCUUCAGCAAUGUUGGCGGGUCUGCCAUCCAGCUUUAAACAAGAUGCCUCUGCAAGACAAUGAAGAAGGAAAAUUACUCCCUCCAUGACCUGGACUUCCAGAAAAGCUGGGCAACAAAUGAGGCACAAUCUCUGGUGACAAAAAUGAAUAAACAAAAAGGAGUUUUAGCAAAAUAAAGCCAGGAAGGAAGAGUAAAGGUAUCAAGGACAGUGGCUGACCAGAUUGACCCACCUGGGUCAUGGGUAUACGGCAUCGCAUCAAACUACCAUCAACCCUAGGAAGACUCCCACCACUGCUCCAUAAACAUCAAGUCCCAGCAGGACACUUCUUAUCCCCCAGCAUGAACGCACUCACCUUCACAUCCAUCAGUAGGGAAGUGUAUGAUGAACUACUAGCAUACUAUAAAACAUUUGCCUAUUAAUUUUACAUGUUUAAACAAUUUGAGAAAAUGCUUAUGAUAUGCUCUUUAAGUGAAAGAAGGAAGAUACACAAUUGUAUGUAUGAUCUAUAUUGUCUGAACUAUGUCAUAAGACAUACAGAGGAAAAGAUGGGCAAAAAGUUCCAGCUAUGCCACUAAAUUGUACACUUAAAAAUGGUUAAAAUGGUAAAGUUUACAUGACAUAUAAUGAGUUAUAAAGCUGACAGAAAUUGUUCUAAGUUGUCAAUAACAGAAAGCAUAUGAGGAUUAACCAACCUAGAGUAGUGACUAUGUGACUUUUCUAUAGAAAAAUUAUGACACUGCUGUCAUAGAAUGAAGCAGUCAAUAUGCUGCCCAAAAAUGUAGGGAAAAAAUUACUGAAGUAUUGAUUUUUGAAAUAUAUAAUGUUUCGUGAUUUCUUUUUUCAAUCCAAAUAUUCACUUUUUUUAUACAAUUGUUUUCAUAAUUAUAAAUCUUUUUAUUUAAAAAUGGUACUUAUAUAUUUUGUAGAAAGUAAAUUAUAUAUAUUACAUUAUAUAAACUUCAGACACCACAAAA